UGACUGCAGCCAGGGCACUGUUUCACUGGAGCUCAAAGAGACAGAGCCACCGUAACACCACCACUAUCAUUUCUAAGCCUGAAAUAAUAAUAAUGCAACUGACUUUUUAAACAUUGUUACUUUCAUUAACUUUUCUUUCUUUUUUCUUUUUUUUUGAAACAAGGUCUUACUAUGUAGCACAGGCAGGCUUCUAACUCCUGAUCCUCCUGCCUCAGCCUCGAAAGUGCUGGGAUUAGAGGCAUGCUGCAUCAUGCCCAACUUCUUCAUCAAUGUUUGAGAUAGUAAUUAAGAGGCUGAAACAGGAAGAUCACCAGCGCAAGACCAGCAGGGGCUGCAUUGUGAGAUCUUGUCUCAAAAAGAAGAAAUUGUGUGCAUGCGGUCUCUGCCUCCAGGGAAGUUACAAUCUAGAAAGCUGAAUGACUGAUAAUGCCAUCAAGAGAAAUAAGGAAAAGAGAAUGGAUUUGAGAAAUGAAACUCUGUGUCUGAAAUAUACGAGUUACUUGCUUGGUUGCCUAACGUUGAACUUUUGGCUGCACUCCCAACGUCAGGUAGAGGAGAAGAGGUAAAGGUUGAGUUGAUGCUAAUGGCCAAAGACAAAAAUCAAUGAUGGCUUCAUGUAAGUUUCCAUGAAAAGUCAAACAGGAAUUUGAAGAACUUCCGGGUUACUGAACACACCUAGUCAUGUCUUCAUCUGCCUCUCCAUCUGUCCUUUUAAAUGUCAUUAAACUAUUAAACACAAUAUUAAACUAU